UCGCAAGACAAAGAGGGGGACCUUCGGGCCUCUUGCCAUCAGAUGUGCCCAGAUGGGAUUAGCUAGUAGUGGGGUAACGGCUCACCUAGCGAGAUCCCUAGCUGGUCUGAGAGGAUGACCAGCACACUGGAACUGAGACACGGUCCAGACUCCUACGGGAGGCAGCAGUGGGGAAUAUUGCACAAUGGGCGCAAGCCUGAUGCAGCCAUGCCGCGUGUAUGAAGAAGGCCUUCGGGUUGUAAAGUACUUUCAGCGGGGAGGAAGGUGUUGUGGUUAAUAACCACAGCAAUUGACGUUACCCGCAGAAGAAGCACCGGGUUAACUCCGUGCCAGCAGCCGGGUAAUACGGAGGGUGCAAGCGUUAAUCGGAAUUACUGGGGCGUAAAGCGCACGCAGGCGGUCUGUCAAAGUCGGGAUUGUCGAAAUCCCCGGGGCUCAAACCUGGGGAACUGGAUUCCGAAACUGGCAGGCCUAAGUCUUGUAAGGGGGGUAGAAUUCCCAGGUGGUAAGCGGGGGAAAAUGCGGUAAAAGAAUCCUGGAGGGAAAUAACCCGGGUGGCAGAAAAGGGGGGCCCCCUUGGGACCAACAAGACUUGGAGGC
rnacentral:rRNA from 1 species